UCAUGGCGGAAGGCAGUGACAGCGCCAGCGCCGGGAGAUUUUUCAGGCUUCUUAGAGAACCAAAUCUGAAGUGUGGUCGUAUUUUUGGUUUUACAAGAGUGCUGAGGGAAACUUAAUCGAAGAUGGUCACCCUGUCUGCAGAACAUGCGAAAAUAAUCGCUGCGAAAGGGGGCAACACUUCAAAUCUCUUGAGUCAUCUUCGUGAUCACCACCCAUUACUUUAUAGCGAAUACAAGAGUGGGCGAGCAGCAGGCAAACCCUGUGAUGCUACUGGUCCCUCCUCAUCUACAGUUGUGACAGACACUCGAGCAAGCAUUUAAAAAGCAUCCAAAAAAUGCUCAAGACCUCAUUGCAAAGGACAUGAUGCCAUUUCAAUUUGUUCUGAGGCUGAUGAAGUUUGGCGUGCCUCACUACAAAGUGAGUGCUGCUAAUUUUAUUUGUUGUUUGUUUAUUUGAUUUUCCUACUUAAGGUUGUGUUCAUUUAAAUCUGCACUAGGGAAACUGUUACCUCUCAUGGCCACAUGGUGGCAUCUUUAAUGUUAACGUUAUUAUUUUAAUGUUUAUGCACACACAAAUUUCAUAGUGCUGCUAAUUUUAUUUGUUGUUUAUUUGUUUUCAAUAUAAAACUUGG